UAAGGAAUAUUGGACAAUGGAGGCAACUCUGAUCCAGCCAUGCCGCGUGAAGGAAUAAGGCCCUAUGGGUUGUAAACUUCUUUUAGACGGGACAAAACCCCUUUACGUGUAAAGGGUUGAUGGUACUGUCAGAAUAAGCAUCGGCUAACUUCGUGCCAGCAGCCGCGGUAAUACGAAGGAUGCAAGCGUUAUCCGGAAUUAUUGGGUUUAAAGGGUGCGUAGGCGGACUAAUAAGUCAGUGGUGAAAGCCUGCAGCUUAACUGCAGAAUUGCCAUUGAUACUGUUAGUCUUGAGUACAGUUGAGGUAGGCGGAAUGUGUCAUGUAGCGGUGAAAUGCUUAGAUAUGACACAGAACACCGACUGCGAAGGCAGCUUGCUAAGCUGUAACUGACGCUGAGGCACGAAAGCGUGGGGAGCAAACA
rnacentral:rRNA from 1 species